rnacentral:rRNA from 1 species
GACGAACGCUGGCGGCGUGCUUAACACAUGCAAGUCGAACGGAAAGGCCCUGCUUUUGUGGGGUGCUCGAGUGGCGAACGGGUGAGUAACACGUGAGUAACCUGCCCUUGACUUUGGGAUAACUUCAGGAAACUGGGGCUAAUACCGGAUAGGAGCUCCUGCUGCAUGGUGGGGGUUGGAAAGUUUCGGCGGUUGGGGAUGGACUCGCGGCUUAUCAGCUUGUUGGUGGGGUAGUGGCUUACCAAGGCUUUGACGGGUAGCCGGCCUGAGAGGGUGACCGGCCACAUUGGGACUGAGAUACGGACCAGACUGCUACGGGAGGCAGCAGUGGGGAAUAUUGCACAAUGGGCGGAAGCCUGAUGCAGCAACGCCGCGUGCGGGAUGACGGCCUUCGGGUUGUAAACCGCUUUCGCCUGUGACGAAGCGGGAGUGACGGUAAUGGGUAAAGAAGCACCGGCUAACUACGUG